AGCAGCCCAGAGCCUGAAUCAGUGUGUGUGUUAGUGGAAGCGUCUGGAAAGGCGCGCGAUACAGGGUGACAGCCCCGUACACAAAAAUGCACAUGCUGUGAGCUCGAUGAGUAGGGCGGGACACGUGGUAUCCUGUCUGAAUAUGGGGGGACCAUCCUCCAAGGCUAAAUACUCCUGACUGACCGAUAGUGAACCAGUACCGUGAGGGAAAGGCGAAAAGAACCCCGGCGAGGGGAGUGAAAAAGAACCUGAAACCGUGUACGUACAAGCAGUGGGAGCACGCUUAGGCGUGUGACUGCGUACCUUUUGUAUAAUGGGUCAGCGACUUAUAUUCUGUAGCAAGGUUAACCGAAUAGGGGAGCCGAAGGGAAACCGAGUCUUAACUGGGCGUUAAGUUGCAGGGUAUAGACCCGAAACCCGGUGAUCUAGCCAUGGGCAGGUUGAAGGUUGGGUAACACUAACUGGAGGACCGAACCGACUAAUGUUGAAAAAUUAGCGGAUGACUUGUGGCUGGGGGUGAAAGGCCAAUCAAACCGGGAGAUAGCUGGUUCUCCCCGAAAGCUAUUUAGGUAGCGCCUCGUGAAUUCAUCUCCGGGGGUAGAGCACUGUUUCGGCAAGGGGGUCAUCCCGACUUACCAACCCGAUGCAAACUGCGAAUACCGGAGAAUGUUAUCACGGGAGACACACGGCGGGUGCUAACGUCCGUCGUGAAGAGGGAAACAACCCAGACCGCCAGCUAAGGUCCCAAAGUCAUGGUUAAGUGGGAAACGAUGUGGGAAGGCCCAGACAGCCAGGAUGUUGGCUUAGAAGCAGCCAUCAUUUAAAGAAAGCGUAAUAGCUCACUGGUCGAGUCGGCCUGCGCGGAAGAUGUAACGGGGCUAAACCAUGCACCGAAGCUGCGGCAGCGACGCUUAUGCGUUGUUGGGUAGGGGAGCGUUCUGUAAGCCUGUGAAGGUGUGCUGUGAGGCAUGCUGGAGGUAUCAGAAGUGCGAAUGCUGACAUAAGUAACGAUAAAGCGGGUGAAAAGCCCGCUCGCCGGAAGACCAAGGGUUCCUGUCCAACGUUAAUCGGGGCAGGGUGAGUCGACCCCUAAGGCGAGGCCGAAAGGCGUAGUCGAUGGGAAACAGGUUAAUAUUCCUGUACUUGGUGUUACUGCGAAGGGGGGACGGAGAAGGCUAUGUUGGCCGGGCGACGGUUGUCCCGGUUUAAGCGUGUAGGCUGGUUUUCCAGGCAAAUCCGGAAAAUCAAGGCUGAGGCGUGAUGACGAGGCACUACGGUGCUGAAGCAACAAAUGCCCUGCUUCCAGGAAAAGCCUCUAAGCAUCAGGUAACAUCAAAUCGUACCCCAAACCGACACAGGUGGUCAGGUAGAGAAUACCAAGGCGCUUGAGAGAACUCGGGUGAAGGAACUAGGCAAAAUGGUGCCGUAACUUCGGGAGAAGGCACGCUGAUAUGUAGGUGAAGCGACUUGCUCGUGGAGCUGAAAUCAGUCGAAGAUACCAGCUGGCUGCAACUGUUUAUUAAAAACACAGCACUGUGCAAACACGAAAGUGGACGUAUACGGUGUGACGCCUGCCCGGUGCCGGAAGGUUAAUUGAUGGGGUCAGCGCAAGCGAAGCUCUUGAUCGAAGCCCCGGUAAACGGCGGCCGUAACUAUAACGGUCCUAAGGUAGCGAAAUUCCUUGUCGGGUAAGUUCCGACCUGCACGAAUGGCGUAAUGAUGGCCAGGCUGUCUCCACCCGAGACUCAGUGAAAUUGAACUCGCUGUGAAGAUGCAGUGUACCCGCGGCAAGACGGAAAGACCCCGUGAACCUUUACUAUAGCUUGACACUGAACAUUGAGCCUUGAUGUGUAGGAUAGGUG
rnacentral:rRNA from 1 species